UGGUUAAACCUUCCUGUAUCCUACUGUCUGUUCUGAGAGUGAACAGGGAGGGGCUGGUUGAACCUCACUCUGCUUGGUGGUUCUACGUUAUGACACAUGCACCGAAAGCAUUUGCACAAACUACAUAAACAGACAAACAAUAAAAUGGGAAAAGCUGAAAUUAGAAGAGACACAGACUCUUCAUGGAAAUAUGUUUAUAUGUUUAUAACGGACACAGUGCUCGGUUAUGGUUACACACCAGGUAAAUUACACUGAGUGUACAAAACAUUAGGAACACCUUCCUACUAUUGAGUUGCAUCCAUUAUUGCCCCCAGAACAGCCUAUGCGGUGUCAAAAGCAUUCCUGCUAACCCAUGUUGACUCCAAUGCUUCCCACAGUUGUGUCAAUUUUCGCUGGAUGUCCUUUGGGUGGUGGACCAUUCUUGAUACACACGGGAAACAGUUGAGCGUGAAAAACCCAGCAGCGAUGUAGUUCUUGACACAAACCGGUGUGCCUGUCACCUACUACCAUACCCCGUUCAAAGGCACUUAAAAUCUUUUGUCUUGUCCAUUCACCCUCUGAAUGGCACACAUACACAAUCCAUGUCUCAAUUGUCUCAAGUCUUAAAAAUCAUUUUUUAACCUGUCUCUUCCCAUUCAUCUACACUGAUUGAAGUGGAUUUAACAAGUGACAUCAAUAAGUGAUCAUAGCUUUAACCUGGAUUCACCUGGUCAGUCUAUGUCAUGCAAAGGGCAGGUGUUCUUAAUGUUUUGUACACUCAGUGUAUCAUAAUCAUUUACACACAUGGUGUCACACAGACGAUACACAUCUGAAUUGUUGGACCUCUUAGACCCCACUGUAAUAUCCUCCAUGUGGUCAGGUGUUAUCACUGUCUACUUCAUUCACAUUGUCUCUUCUCCUUCUCUCCCCGUCUCUCUCAACAGCGUGAGUGUAUCUCUGUUCACGUGGGCCAGGCUGGAGUCCAGAUGGGUAACACCUGUUGGGAGCUGUACUGCCUGGAGCAUGGGAUCCAGCCAGAUGGACAGAUGCCCAGUGACAAGCCCACAGGUAACCUCGACGACUCCUUCACCACCUUCUUCAGCGCCACGGGCACCGGGAAGUACGUGCCACGCGCCAUCUUCGUCGACCUGGAACCCACCGUUAUCGAUGAGGUGAGGACAGGUACCUAUCGCCAGCUGUUCCACCCUGAGCAGCUCAUCUCAGGCAAGGAGGAUGCUGCCAACAACUACGCCCGCGGUCACUACACCAUCGGCAAGGAGAUCAUUGACUCCGUCCUGGACAGAAUCCGUAAACUGGUAAGAAUGCUUGAAGAAUGAAUUGUUGACAAUUAUGACAAUUAGAGACAUGAUAUGAUAAACAAGAAGCUUUUCUUGUAACCCAUAACCCCCGUAACCCUCGUAACCCAUAACCCUCGUAACCCAUUACCCUCGUAACCCGUAACCCAUAACCCCCAUAACCCCCGUAACCCAUAACCCUCGUAACCCAUAACCCCCAUAACCCCCGUAACCCAUAACCCUCGUAACCCAUAACCCUCGUAACCCGUAACCCCCAUAACCCCCGUAACCCAUAACCCCCAUAACUCUCGUAACCCAUAACCCCCAUAACCCCCGUAACCCAUAACCCUCGUAACCCUGCGUUAUUCCCAAUAUCAAUUGAUAACAGUUGAACCAUCAAAAUGAAUGAAAAAGGGGAGAGAAUAGACAGCCUUGUGGUACACCACUGUCGAUGUUAUACUGAACUAAAUUACAAACGCAACAUUUAAAUUCAAAGAUUUUACUGAGUUACAGUUCAUAUAAGGAAAUCAGUUCGGCCCUAAUCUAUGGAUUUCACAUGACUGGAAAUACAGAUCUGCACGUUGAAAUCAGCAAACCACUCACCCACAUGACACCAUACACGCUGUCUGCUAUCUACCCGGUACAGUUGAAAUCGAUAUUCAUCCGUCAAGAGCACACUUCUCCAGCGUGCUAGUGGCCAUCGAAGGUGAGCAUUUGAAGCCCACUGAAGUUGGUUACGAUGUCAAACUGCAGUCAGGUGAAGACACUUUUGAGGACAACAAGCAUGUAGAUGAGCUUCCUUGAGGCGGUUUCUUCGGUUGUGCAAACCCACAGUUUCCUCAGCUGUCCGGGUGGCUGGUCUCAGACCAUCCCGCAGAUGAAGAAGCCGGAUGUGGAGGUCCUGGGCUGGCGUGGUUACACGUGAUCUGCGGUUCUGAGGCUGGUUGGACAUACUGCCAAAUCCUCUAAAACGACGUUCGAGGCGGCUUAUGGUAGAUAAAUAAACAUUACAUUCUCUGGCAACAGCUCUGGUGGACAUUCUUGCAGUCAGCAUGCCAAUUGUAUACUCCUUCAAAUCUGUGGCAUUGUGUUGUGUGACAAAACUGCACAUUUUAGAGUGGCCUUUUCUUGUCCCCAGCACAAGGUGUACCUGUGUAAUGAUCAUGCUAUUUAAUCAGCUUCUUGAUAUGCCACACCUGUCAGGUGGAUGGAUUAUCUUGGCAAAGGAGAAAUGCUCACUAACAGGGAUGUAAAUAAAUUUGUUCACAAAAUCAGAAAUAAGCUUUCUGUGCGGGUGGAACAUUUCUGGGAUCUUUUAUUUCAGCUCAUGAAACAUGGGACCAAUACUUUAUAUGUUGCGUUUAUAUUUUUGUUCAGUGUAAAAACAGAAAGAGCAGCGGUUGCAAUUGUAACAGCCAAAUAAACAAACAUUAUAUUGUCUAUAAAUCCCUAAUAGGGAUGUAAACAAAUUUGUGCAAAACAUUUGAGAGAAAUAAGCUUUUUGUGCAUAUGAACACUUCAGGGAUCUUUUUUUUCAGCUCAUUUAUAUAUACACCAUCAGAAAGUAUUCACGCCGCUUUAAUUUUUCCCCAUUUUGUUCUGUUACAGUCUGAGUUUUAAAAUGUAUUAAAUUGAGAUUUUGUGUCACUGGCCUACACACAAUACCCCAUAAUGUAAAUGUGGAAUUGUUUUUUCGAAAGUUGUACUAAUUAUAAAAAAAUAUGUAAACUGAAAUAUCUUAUGUCAAUAAGUAUUCAACCUCUUUUGUUAUGACAAGCCUAAAUAAAUUCAGGAUUAAAAAUGUGCUUAACAAGUCACAUAAUAAGUUGCAUGGACUCACUCUGUGUGUAGUAAUAGUGUUUAACAUGAUUUUUGAAUGACUACCUCAUCUCUGUACCCCACACAUACAGCCAUCUGUAGAAUUACAUACAAUUACCUGUACAAUUACCUCAGUCAAGCAGUCAAUUUAAAGCACAGAUUCAACCACAAAGACCAGGGAGGUUUUCCAAUGCCCCGCAAAGAAGGGCACCUGUUGGUAGAUGUGAAAAAAUGUUAAAAGCAGACAUUGAAUAUCCCUUUGAACAUGGUGAAGUUAUUAAUUAUACUUUGGAUGGUGUAUCAAUACACCGAGUCAAUACAAAGAUACAGGCGUCCUUCCUAACUCAGUUGCCGGAGAGGAAGGAAACCACUCAGAGAUUUCACCAUGAGGCCAGUGGGGAUUUUAAAAUAGUUACAAAGUUUAAUAGCUGGGAUAGGAAAAAACUGAGGUUGGAUCAACAACAUUGUAGUUACUCCACAAUACUAACCUAAUUGACAGUGUGAAAAGAAGGAAGCCUGUUCAGAAUACAACUAUUUCAAAACAUGCAUCCUUUUUGCAACAAGGCACUAAAGUAAUACUGCAAAACAUUUGGCUAAAGAAUUAACUUUAUGUCCUAAAUACAAAGCUUUAUGUUUGGGGCAAAUCCAAGUACCACUCUUCAUACUUUCAUGCAUGGUGGUGGCUGCAUCAUGUUAUGGGUAUGCUUGUCAUCGGCAAGGACUAGGGAGUUUUUAGGAUAAAAAUAAACUGAAUACAGCUAUAAGCACAGGCAAAAUCCUAGAGAAAAACCUGGUUCAGUCUGCUUUCCAGCAGAUACUAGGGAGAUGAAUGCACCUUUCAGCAGGACAAUAACCUACAACACAAGGCCAAUCCUACACUGGAGUUGCUUACCAAGACAACAUUGAAUAUUUCUGAGUGGCCUCAUUACAUUUUUUACUUAAAUCAGCUUGAAAAUCUAGGACAAGACUUGAAAAUUGCAGUCUAGCAAUGAUCAACAAAUAACUUGAAGAUAUUUUUCAAAGAAUAAUGUGCAAAUAAUGUACAAUCCACGUGUGAAAGCUCCUAGAAACGUACCCAGAAAGACUUACAGUAGUAUUCGCUGCCAAAGGUGAUUCUAAAAUGUAUUGACUUAGGAGUGUGAGUACUUAUAUAAAUGAUAUAUUUCUGUAUUUAAUUUUCAAUACAUUUGCAAAAAUGUCUUAAAACAUGUUUUCACUUUUUCAUUAUGGGGUAUUGUGUGUAGAUGGGUGAAAAAAUAUAUUGAAUCAAUUUUGAAUUCAGGCUGUAACACAACAAAUCUGGAAUAAGUAAAGGGGUAUGAAUACUGAAGGAACGUAAGUAAUUUUACUGCAUGGUGAUGUCACCAUGGAAGGCCAAAACUCCAUCCCACCAAAACAGGUUGAAAUUUCAGGCGGUCUUUUCAAACAGCUCUUACACUAAAAGGGCAUUAUCAUCAAGUUCACACUUUCACAGCAUUAUUCCAACCUCAUAGUGUGGGAAUCGAUAUAAAACACAGGAAAAUCAUGUUUUUG
rnacentral:lncRNA from 8 species